UCCUACGGGAGGCAGCAGUGAGGAAUAUUGGUCAAUGGGCGGGAGCCUGAACCAGCCAAGCCGCGUGAAGGAAGAAGGCGCCAAGCGUCGUAAACUUCUUUUGUCGGGGAACAAAGGGCGCCACGUGUGGCGUUGUGAGUGUACCCGAAGAAAAAGCAUCGGCUAACUCCGUGCCAGCAGCCGCGGUAAUACGGAGGAUGCGAGCGUUAUCCGGAUUUAUUGGGUUUAAAGGGUGCGUAGGCGGUCCGGAAAGUCAGCGGUAAAAGCCCGGGGCUCAACCCCGGUGAGCCGUUGAAACAGUCGGG
rnacentral:rRNA from 1 species